GCGGUAAUUCAAGCUCCAGUAGCGUAUAUGUAAAUUGUUGCGGUUGAAAAGCUCGUAGUUGGACUUCUGGCGACCGCGUUCGGUCCGCCAAGCGCGUGCACUGUCCGCGGUCGUCGUUUCUGUCGACGUGGCGCGUCGGCCUUAGUUGGUCGGUGCGUCGUCUGUCGGCGAUGUUACUUUGAGGAAAUCAGAGUGCUCAAGGCAAGCGUUCGCUCGUGACUUCACUAGCAUGGAAUAACACAGAUGGGCUCUUUCUCGCACUGUUGGUCUGCGUCAAUUGAGCAACGAUCGAUAGAGACGGUCGGGGGCAUUCGUAUUGCGCAGUUAGAGGUGAAAUUCUCCGAUCUGCGCAAGACGCACUAAUGCGAAAGCAGUUGCCAAGGACGUCCUCUUAUGAUCAAGAGCGAAAGUCGGGGGAUCAAAGAUGAUUAGAUACCGUCGUAGUCCCGACCAUAAAUGAUGCCGACUGAGCUUCGGCGACUCGACCUCAGGUCGUACGUCGGCGCUCUUAGAGAAAUUAAAGUCUUUGGGCUCCGGGGGUAGUAUGGUCGCAAGUCUGAAACUUGAAGGAAUUGACGGAAGGGCACCACAAGGCGUGGAUGUUGCGGCUUAAUUUGACUCAACACGGGAAAGCUUACUAGGUUUGGACACCUUUGUGAUGGACAGAUUGAAGCUCUUACCCUACUGCGUGGAUGGUGGUGCAUGGUCGUUCUCAGCCCGUGGGUUGACCUGUCAGGUUUACUCCGGUAACGCGCGAGACCUCGGUCUGCUAAAUAGACGCGGCUGUUCCGGCACCCGCGCUCUUCUUAGAGAGAGACUCGACGAGAGUCGAGGGAAGUCGAGGCAAUAACAGAUCUGUGAUGCCCUUAGUUAUCCUAGGUCGCACGCGCCAUACAAUGUGGCGCACAACGAGUCUCCUUGGCCGACAGGAUCUGGGCAAUCUGGCAGAGCGCUACGUGACUGGGCUAGACUUUUGUAAUUUUUGGUCUUGAACGAGGAAUGCCUAGUAAUCGCAGGUCAGCAUCCUGCGAUGAUUCGGUCCCUGCCCUUUGUACACACCGCCCGUCGCUCCAUCCGUGGCAUGCGCCGGUGAAGAGGGGGAGGCAGCGUCGGCCGGGUAACACCGGAUCGUACGUGGAACCCCUCUGAACCUUCGCACGUAGAGGAAGGAGAAGUCGUAACAAGGUUUUCGUAGGUGAACCUGCGAAAGGAUCAUUAUCGGCAC
rnacentral:rRNA from 1 species